rnacentral:rRNA from 1 species
AUGGGCCGCAAGCGCCGCCAGCCGUCACCGCCGCCGCCUCCGCCUCCGGAGGAGGAUUCUUCCGCCGAGGAGUCCAGCUCCGCCGAGGAGGAGGAGGAGGAGGAGGAGGAGGCGGCGGAGGCCACCCCCGCGACCCAAAAUUCCCCCAAGCCCCCUUCCGCCGCCGCGGACGACGACGCCGAGGCCGACGCCGAUUCGUCGGACGGAAGCGACGAGGAGUCCUCCGAGUCAGGCAAGAUCGACGCCGAGGCCUUCGAGCUGCGCCAGAUCGCCUCCUCCAACCCGCCGCCGGCUGCGGCUUCCAAGCCCGAAUCCGACGACCAGGAGCCCACUCCGCCGGGCAAGGACAAGAAGAAGCGCAAGGCCGGGGCGGAGAAGGUGGCGCCUGAGCCCUCUCCGUCCGGCAAGGCCAAGAAGAAGGCACUCUCCGAGCUCACUCCUUCCAGCGAGGGGAAGAAGAAGCACAAGGCCCAGCCGGAGAAGACUGCGCCGUGGAACAAGCUUGAGAAACCUGGACAGCCCAGGCGCUGGACAGUCGAGGACGAGCUCAAGAUCCUGGAGGCUCUUGUUCGCCACGUCAAGGCCAAUGGCACCCAGCCGGGCGCUGGUGAGCUUAUUGCCGUGGUUGGUGGCAGCCUCGAGAGGAAGAACUGCACCAAGACGGAAAUGUAUGAGAAGGUGCGGAACAUCAGGCAGCGGUAUGAGAAAGCGGUGAGCACAGGCGCUCUGCCAGAGAAAGAUGAUGACCUCCGCAAGUUCAAGCUCUCGGAGCAAGUCUGGGGAGCAAAUGCAAAGCAGGUGGCUGCAGCCACCAUGGCUCAAAAUGAGGCUGCUUCCUUAAAGAGCAAGAAGAAGGGGCAGACUAGCAAGGAGAAAACAGAGGGCCAUUCAAAGGGUGGUGCAGCAAAGGAGGCAACCGCUAGCGCCGAUGAAACAGAGGGCUAUUCAAAGGGUGCUACAGCAAAGCAGGCCACCGAAGAGAAGGUAGAAGAAGAUGGCAAGGGCAGGUCAUCAAAGAAGGCCAGCACUGCUGAUACUCCUGCUAAGAGUAGAAAGCGGGGAAACCACAAUGAGGAAUUGGAAGGCGAUGCAAAAACUGCCACUACAAAGGAGACCGUGGAUACUACCACUCAAAAUGGUGGCACUUUGGUGAGGAGCAAGAGUGGAAAGUCUGACAAAGAGAAAGCGGAUGGAGAUGCUGAGAGCCCCACACCAACGGAGGAUAUGGCUGACGCUCAAAAUGGUGGCACCCUUGCUCUGUAUAAGACGGAAGGGGAAGCUCAUGAAGAGAAAAUGGACACAGAUGCUAAUGUGAAAGGCACGCGCAAAGGGUUUGAGGAAUUGCAGAAAUUGUACCCCAACCUUACCUCUUAUGUGGAGGACAUCCAGGCCCAGCAUCCAUGUGGGGAGACACUGAAGAGAGCAUUUGAGUUCAUUCCUGAUGAGAAGGCAUGUACUUUGGAAUCCAAGAUCAAGAAGCAAAGAGUAGCUGAGUUGAGGAUGGAGAUGCGCCGAUCUGACACAAAGAAGGAGGUGACCAACAUAUUCAUAGGAUUGCUGGACUAA